UACGGAGGGUGCAAGCGUUAAUCGGAUUUACUGGGCGUAAAGCGUGCGUAGGUGGCUUAGUCAGUCAGCUGUGAAAGCCCCGGGCUUAACCUGGGAACUGCAGUUGAUACUGCUUGGCUAGAGUUCGGUAGAGGAGGGUGGAAUUCCUGGUGUAGCGGUGAAAUGCGUAGAUAUCAGGAGGAACAUCAAUGGCGAAGGCAGCCCUCUGGGCCUGAACUGACACUGAGGUACGAAAGCGUGGGGAGCAAAC
rnacentral:rRNA from 1 species